GCCAUAUUUUAAAUGCCACCUCCUGCCACACUCCUCUUAUGCAUAGAGAAUGGCAGAUAUGCACAUUGAACUGAAUCCCAGCUUGCCCCAGAAUUCUGACCACAGGGCAAGAUGGAGACCCACAGGGGCAUCUCCGAGGAUGUGUCCCUCUGCCCGGUUGGGUCAGGCUGACUGGAGCCCCAGCACCAGCCCUCUGAGGUACGCCGGGCCCUGGAGAAGGAGAUCAGAGGACAGAAUUGCAUAUCUACCGAACAAAAAUCUUGAAGAAUUUACAGCGUUGCAAAAUAGCCAGGUCAAUAGGAAGUAGCCUGCCCUGAAAGAACACCCAUCAUCUCUUUUGCCGAUUGCCAAGUUUUGAAGAUUUUUUCCUCCAGCUUCCUCCAACCUAUCUUGGUUCAUAUCCUCCUUUGUUUCUUGCCCAGCCCAGAUCUCUACUGUAUCAAGACAUUUAGACCCUCUUAAAUCCAUUUUCUUUUCCAUAAACCUUUAAUCCAAACUAGAUUAAUUGCUAAUUCUUCAACUCCUAUGACUUCAUCUUCAUUCCGUCAGAUGCCCAUGCAACAGGAACUUGGAGAUCCUGUAACAUCAGUGUAGCAGUUCGGUAUUAUUGAUGAAUUCAAAAAAGAAAUAUUGGAUUAUGUUUGUAAACUGAUCUUCUCCUCUGGGCAUAAUAGAUUAUAUUGGAUUCAUAGGUUUACUUGAUCAAGUAAUUAUGUAAACCUCUUGUGCCCAAAGGAUGGGGACUCACAGAUAAAAGGCAUGGCAAAGGACAGAGUUGGGGGGCUUUCGAUGUUGGAGUUUUGAUGUUGGAGUUUGAUGCUGAAGCUGGAGCCCCAGGGAGAGAGAGAUAGAGUCGUUUGCCUGAUGGUCUACAGCUGGCCUUGUGGAGAGCAGCAAAGCCUAGAGAGCCUCAUAGUCUACAGCUGACCUUGUAGAGAAAACAGGAGUUGAGGCCAGAGGAACCCAGGAAACCUGAACUUUUGCAGAUGUCGGCAGCCAUCGUGCUCCAACACGUGGAAAUAGACUUUGGUGAGGAAAGUAACUUAUGCUUUAUGGCCUGGUAUCUGUAAGCUCCUACCCCAAAUAAAUACCCUUUAUAAAAACCAACCAAUUUCUGGUAUUUUGCAUCAGCACCCCUUUGGCUGAUUAAUACAAUCAGCUUGUGGGUCGAGAUGGUCUGUGAACUGAGGCGCUCCACUCACUGCACAUGAGCUGGU
rnacentral:lncRNA from 1 species